rnacentral:lncRNA from 1 species
UUUAUCUAGGGACUCCAGGCUUCCAUUCCGAAUGUGCCUGCUAGAAGGUUCACCCCACCCCAGCCCAGGACACAACCCCUAAGCAUGCUUGUUGCUGCUGUCCCAGGAAGGACAGCCUUGUCAGUUUGCUCCAUGCUACUGCCAACAAAUCUCUUGUGAGGGAUUCAGAACCCUCCUCAAACCCCAGACUUUGACCCCCUUGAUGGACCCCCUUCCCACCGUUCUCCACCUUCUGCUCUGACCCCUCUGGGACCUCCCUCACCUACUUUCUGUCCACCUGCUACUCCUUCUUGC